rnacentral:rRNA from 1 species
CCUACGGGAGGCAGCAGUGGGGAAUAUCGCACAAUGGGGGAAACCCUGAUGCAGCGACGCCGCGUGAGUGAAGAAGGAUUUCGGUACGUAAAGCUCUAUCAGCAGGGAAGAAAAUGACGGUAACUGACUAAGAAGCCCCGGCUAACUACGUGCCAGCAGCCGCGGUCAUACGUAGGGGGCAAGCGUGAGCCGGAUUUACUGGGUGUAAAGUGAGCGUAGACGGCAGCGCAAGUCUGGAGUGAAAGCCCAUGGCUUAACCAUGGAACUGCAUUGGAAACUGGGCGGCUAGAGUGCAGGAGAGGUGAGUGGAAUUCCAAGUGUAGCGGUGAAAUGCGUAGAUAUUAGGAGGAACACCAGUGGCGAAGGCGGCUCACUGGACUGUAACUGACGUUGAGGCUCGAAAGCGUGGGGAGCAAACAGGAUUAGAUACCCCGGUAGUC